GCCGCUGGGCCCCGGGACCACCGCUCUGAGGACGAGACGGAAAACAGGGCCGGGAAGGGUGGACGGUGGGAGAGAUGGGGCCAUGCCUCAGCUCAGAGCUAGGGACCUCCGCUCGGAGCGGCCGGGGAGGUUCCGGGACCACACUGGGUCCCUUUCGGCUCCGUGCACGACGUGACCGGCAGAGUCAUCGGGGGGGUUCCAGCCGGCGUGGAAGUGACCGAUAGAGGAGAUUUAUAUUUUAUCAGAGGACUGCUCCUGGGCACUUUUCCGCAGGACUGGGAGAUCAAGGACCUGUCGGCAGGAGGACUUGUGUCUCCUGAGCUUCAUUUCUGCACAUCAUCUGACCUGUCAUCUACACAAGAACCCAAAUGCUGAAAAGAAAGUGAUAACCAGAAGACAUGCGCUGACAUUUCCAAACACUUUGGAAGUGAGUCAGCUUCUCUUUGGGACACGGCACAGUUUCAGCUGUCUGGUAUUGAUAGAAUGCGCUUUCUAAAAGCAACAUCUCCUCCGCUGAUAAAACUCUUGACCUAUUAAACACCCUUGCCCAGCUGUUGAGUUGGAUUUUCUCUUUUGGCAUCAUUUUGGCAUGGAGAACUGGAUUUCUUCUUAUCCAGAUCUGAUAUGGAAAAACAAUAUUUCUAAGACAUAAUAUAUUUUAAAAUGUUAGUUCCCUGAAUGAACACACCAAGAACACAAAUAUAAAUGUGGUGUGGAAAAUAGUUUCAGAAGAAUGGACAUCAGGAAUUGCAAUGAAAUAUCCUCCCACAGGAAGUGAAUUAAUGCAAAUAAGGUAUUUUUAUCACUUGUGCACUGCAAUGCAGUGUUCAGAGAGGACUGGUGCUAUCUAAAAUCUGCUCAUUCAGUGGAACAACUACAGAAGCAGCAUCUCUGGAAAGUGUGACAGCCAUGAAAUAAUUAUCUGCCUUAUCAGAAACAAAAGACAUUGAGGAUGUGGUGAUUCCUCUCACUGAAGAGCAGGCUGGAGGAAAGCUGUCAAGAGGGAAUAAUCAGCUGCUGCUGCACUCAAUCCCAAUACACAUCUUUCCAAGAAGGUUUAGAGGAUGUGAAGAUCAGCCCCAAAUCCUCAGUUCAGCAGGACAAACAUUCAAAACUUUAAGCAUUGUGACAAGUGAAUCUGAUGCAAAUGCACAGAACCAUAGUAAAUGAGGCUGGAAAAGAUCCCUAGAGGCCAUUUAGUUCAUGGCCUGUUAUUUUCAAGUGCCCCAGGACUUCAAAGAGAAAUUCUCCAUACCAUACUUAGUGGUAACAGCAUACUUUGGGGAGCUGUUUUGUAGCAGCUGACAAUAGAUAAUAACUUGUUUUAGAUGAGUUAGGCAAGCUGUCCAGAAUAUGACUAUGAGCACAGCUGUCAGAAAUAAGAAAAUACAACUACACCAGAGAAGCCUGUAUCUUUGAAUCAGAGAAUCAUAAAAUGGUAUGGGUUGAAAGGGACCUUAAGGAUCAUCCAGUUCCAGCCGUCUUGAUUCCACAAAAAUACCCUUGUAUUAUUGUGAAAAAUUGCUUGCUUAACUGGCAUGUCUGCACACUCAAACAGCAAAGAAACCAGACUGGGAGAAUCAUUUUUGUAUGUUACUGUCGGAGGUACAGAUCCCACCAGUCUUGCUAAAACCCCUUUUGCUGUUACAGUAUGUCCACAUAUGAUAGUCACGUCAUUUUUUUGACCAUUUCUAAACUUCAUGGGAGAUGGACUCCAUGAUCACCACUAUCCCUGCUCCCCACUCCCCCAGCUUCUCAGUCUCCGUGCCUUCAUAUUCAAACUCACAGACUGUGGCAUUCAUCACAGCUUUUUCCUCUGCAAAAAAAACUUGGGCUAGGGCACAGCUAGGGAAUGCACCAGGUCCAAGGAGCUGGAUAGCCUAAAUUAUAUAUACUUUCCUGGGACCUAUAAUCUGUGGUUCUCAUCUUCAUGUUACUUACCACAGAUAUUGAUGGAUACUUGGAAACUUUGAGGGUUUGUGGAAAAAGAAGUCAGGCAAGAGUUUAGCUCACAGGCAUUAAAAGCACAGCCUAGGUAUCACCUGUCACAACACUUAUGGACUCCACAUGAAUCCACUUUGAAAAAGAAACUUGCUUCUUUUGCAAAAAUUAUAAUUGGCAAGUGACUAAGGAGGAAAAUACAUGGACUAAACAAUGCAGAUCUAAAUCAGUAUUUCUUAAUACAGCCUUGUGGCUGCUGCUUCCCAAUAUGUUGAAUAUGGACAGUUCCAAAUACCAGAAGACAAAAUUAAUUUGGAUUAUAAAUAGAUGUUACCCUGUGCUUCAGUAUCAGAAGCACUCUGUUGUGUAAACAGAAAACUAUUGGCUUUUGUUUCUGCUUUUAAAGGUUACUUGAUAGCUUCCAUGUACUCUCUGCUGAAAGCCUUUUUCACCUGUUGGAGCUGGGUCUCUCUCUUGGGUAUCAACACCUCUACAGCCUGCUGAGAGGCUUCACUUGAAGCUGUUAAAAUAUCUCUUCUCAUACGCCCUUUCCUCCGAUCUCUUGGAUGCUCUCCAGCUGGCCUCACUACUCUGUUAGCUUUUAGUCAGCUCAGUUUAGUGAACAUGUCUUGAGUUUGUCAUUGUCUUGAUUUCUGCGUGUAUUUUUUAUCCAGGGAAAUGUGUUUGCUACUAGCUCCAAUGUGUCUUAUUUGUUUAACAAAAGCAAAAAAUAAAUAAACUAAUUAAUGUAUCUGCUUAGGAUUUUUAAACAAAUAGGCUUUUGGAAAAUCUGACCUGUUGUUCCUUUACCCUCUGCCCAGUGCCCUUUGAAAUGUAUUUAGAGGAUUUCCUGUUUAAGGCAAAUCACACAUGGGGCUUUACUACAUCAUGAUCUUCUUCCCCAGUUAAGAACAGCUGCUGCAAGAUGAGGUCCCUUUAUGCUAGGAGUAGCUGUUGGGACCUUAUUUUCUAAUAAAAACUCCAAAGUCUGUUUUUCUAACCUCCAGAGUGGUUGAGAAGGCAGACAGGGGACACGUACUCCUUGACACAUGCCUCACCAUUGCAGCUUUGCUCUUUAGGUACAUUGGAUGUGCCCACUGCUCUGCCCUGCAUGGUCACCUCAGGUGGCAUUUGGCUCUGGGUUAUGGUACACUGGGUGCCUGCACAUGAGCCCAGCAUCUAAACUUCUGCAGUGGCUGAAGACCUGAGUUACUGAACUCAGCAGUGCCUGAGCAGUUUGGCCACCCACCAUCCAUGGGGUUUGGAUCAGUUGCUAUCACUGGGCUCUAGAGCCAUUUGAGUGUACCGCAGCAUCAGAGAUCUCUUGUAGAAAUGCCAGCUACAGACAAGGAUCCACAUAUGCUGACACAUCUCAAACUCUUCUGGACCACCCAGGAGGCAGAGGCAACCCCCUGGUGCUGUUCUGGGUGUUACAGGCCGCCUGAUAGUUCCUCUUUGCUGAAAUGCAAGUGUAUGAGUCUCCUGCAGGUCCUCUGUUUUAUUUUCUAGCCCCAAGAAAAUGCCUCAAGUAUAACCUGAGAUGGUGUUGGGCACCCCAGCUGAAGCACUGGAUCAAGCA